rnacentral:rRNA from 2 species
GGUGAGUAAUACAUCGGAACGUAUCCUGGAGUGGGGGAUAGCCCGGCGAAAGCCGGAUUAAUACCGCAUACGCUCUGAGGAGGAAAGCGGGGGACCUUCGGGCCUCGCGCUCAAGGGGCGGCCGAUGGCGGAUUAGGUAGUUGGUGGGGUAAAGGCCUACCAAGCCGACGAUCCGUAGCUGGUCUGAGAGGACGACCAGCCACACUGGGACUGAGACACGGCCCAGACUCCUACGGGAGGCAGCAGUGGGGAAUUUUGGACAAUGGGGGCAACCCUGAUCCAGCAAUGCCGCGUGUGUGAAGAAGGCCUUCGGGUUGUAAAGCACUUUUGUCCGGAAAGAAAUCAUCGGGGCUAAUAUCCCUGGUGGAUGACGGUACCGGAAGAAUAAGCACCGGCUAACUACGUGCCAGCAGCCGCGGUAAUACGUAGGGUGCGAGCGUUAAUCGGAAUUACUGGGCGUAAAGCGUGCGCAGGCGGUGCUGUAAGACCGAUGUGAAAUCCCCGGGCUUAACCUGGGAACUGCAUUGGUGACUGCAGCGCUGGAGUAUGGCAGAGGGGGGUGGAAUUCCACGUGUAGCA